UGAGGAAUAUUGGGCAAUGCCCGCAAGGGUGACCCAGCAACGCCGCGUGGAGGAUGAAUGUCGUAAGAUUGUAAACUCCUGUUAGAGGGGAAGAAUAGUACCGGUUGGACCGGUAUAUGACUGUACCCUCAGAGAAAGCCCCGGCUAACUACGUGCCAGCAGCCGCGGUAAUACGUAGGGGGCAAGCGUUGUCCGGAUUUACUGGGCGUAAAGGGCGCGUAGGCGGCGCGGUAAGUCACUUGUGAAAUCUCUGAGCUUAACUCAGAACGGCCAAGUGNUACUGCUGUGCUAGAGUGCGGAAGAGGCAACCGGAAUUCUUGGUGUAGCGGUGAAAUGCGUAGAUAUCAAGAGGAACACCUGAGGCGAAGGCGGGUUGCUGGGCCGACACUGACGCUGAUGCGCGAAAGCCAGGGGAGCAAACG
rnacentral:rRNA from 1 species